CCNUUAUGACCUGGGCUACACACGUGCUACAAUGGACAGAACAAAGGGCAGCGAAACCGCGAGGUUAAGCCAAUCCCACAAAUCUGUUCUCAGUUCGGAUCGCAGUCUGCAACUCGACUGCGUGAAGCUGGAAUCGCUAGUAAUCGCGGAUCAGCAUGCCGCGGUGAAUACGUUCCCGGGCCUUGUACACACCGCCCGUCACACCACGAGAGUUUGUAACACCCGAAGUCGGUGAGGUAACCUUUUAGGAGCCAGCCGCCGAAGGUGGGACAGAUGAUUGGGGUGAAGUCGUAACAAGGUAGCCGUAUCGGAAGGUGCGGUUGGAUCACCU
rnacentral:rRNA from 1 species